GUGUGUGUGUGUGUGUGUCACCGCAUUUUAAAGGUCGCAAUUCACCAUUAGAAGUGACGUGUGUGAGUGCUUGACUGAGGAGGAGGAGGAGGAGGAGGAGGAACUUGCUGUGGUGAUUGAGGCAAGGGAGUGGAGAGAGACUGGAGAGAAGGAAGGUUAGAGAGGACAGACAAACAAGGAGGAGGAGGAGGAGGAGGAGGAAGAGGAGGAGGGAGAGAAAGACAGGCUGGGCUUGACCGUGACAAAUUCCUUUCUCUCUCUUUCCAAUCUUUCAAGCACCGAUGUAUUGUAACGUAUAUGGGGAUGGAAGAGCGUCGGUAACCAUACAAAAAAAAACUAAUAUUUACGUCGGUAAGCGUGAAUAUUGAGGAGUUAGAGAAAGAAAGGUUAGAGAAAGAAAGGUUAGAGAAAGAAAGGUUAGAGAAAGAAAGGUUAGAGAAAGAAAGGUUGGAGAAAGAAAGGUUGGAGAAAGAAAGGUUGGAGAAAGAAAGGUUGGAGAAAGAAAGGUUGGAGAAAGAAAGGUUGGAGAAAGAAAGGUUGGAGAAAGAAAGGUUGGAGAAAGAAAGGUUGGAGAAAGAAAGGUUGGAGAAAGAAAGGUUGGAGAAAGAAAGGUUGGAGAAAGAAAGGUUGGAGAAAGAAAGGUUGGAGAAAGAAAGGUUGGAGAAAGAAAGGUUGGAGAAAGAAAGGUUGGAGAAAGAAAGGUUGGAGAAAGAAAGGUUGGAGAAAGAAAGGUUGGAGAAAGAAAGGUUGGAGAAAGAAAGGUUGGAGAAAGAAAGGUUGGAGAAAGAAAGGUUGGAGAAAGAAAGGUUGGAGAAAGAAAGGUUGGAGAAAGAAAGGUUGGAGAAAGAAAGGUUGGAGAAAGAAAGGCUGGAGAAAGAAAGGCUGGAGAAAGAAAGGCUGGAGAAAGAAAGGCUGGAGAAAGAAAGGCUGGAGAAAGAAAGGCUGGAGAAAGAAAGGCUGGAGAAAGAAAGGCUGGAGAAAGAAAGGCUGGAGAAAGAAAGGCUGGAGAAAGAAAGGCUGGAGAAAGAAAGGCUAGAGAAAGAAAGGCUAGAGAAAGAAAGGCUGGAGAAAGAAAGGCUGGAGAAAGAAAGGCUGGAGAAAGAAAGGCUGGAGAAAGAAAGGCUGGAGAAAGG